rnacentral:rRNA from 1 species
AUGAACGCUAGCGACAGGCCUAACACAUGCAAGUCGAGGGGCAGCACAAGGAGCAAUCUGAGGUGGCGACCGGCGCACGGGUGAGUAACACGUAUGCAACCUGCCUGUAAGCGGGGAAUAACCCGUUGAAAGACGGACUAAUACCGCAUAAUACUAAAUUACUGCAUGGUAAUUUAUUUAAACAUUUAUGGCUUACAGAUGGGCAUGCGCAUGAUUAGCUAGUUGGAGAGGUAACGGCUCCCCAAGGCAACGAUCAUUAGGGGUUCUGAGAGGAAGGUCCCCCACACCGGUACUGAGACACGGACCAGACUCCUACGGGAGGCAGCAGUGAGGAAUAUUGGUCAAUGGACGAGAGUCUGAACCAGCCAAGUCGCGUGCAGGAAGAAUGUCCUAAUGGAUUGUAAACUGCUUUUGCAGGGGAAUAAAGUGCAUCACGUGUGAUGUUUUGUAUGUACUCUGCGAAUAAGGAUCGGCUAACUCCGUGCCAGCAGCCGC